rnacentral:lncRNA from 1 species
CUCAGGCUAUCCACGUCACCUCAGGAGACCCACGCACCUGUAUUGGUUAGGAUAAAAAAAGUGGUCGACUGAGAAGCAAGAGCAACCAACCCUAAAAAAUAUCCAAACGUCCCAGCCGCCUCGACUCCCUUCUCUUUCCUGCCGCCUCGUCUCUCUACCUCCGCGGCUCCGCCUCCAUCGCCUCCUCAAGGUCCUCCUUCCUUUCCCUGCCUCUACACCCGAAGUAUACGGACAAAGAACACGGUGUGAGCGCGGAGACGACAGGUCCAGAGGCCAUGUGUGAGAGGAAGUGAGCGCUCCUCCUUCCAUGACUGCCUCCUGGAUCUGGAGGAGAAAGACACGCCCCUUGGCAAAAUUAUGCUUCUUGGCAGUGGCUCGAGCGAUGCAGGACCGCGACGAUCACCGGUGAGUGCAGCAGCUUCUACAGGUGGCGGGACCGAUGGUCAAGACCAUGGGCGUGGCUUGGGGACCGGCCCUUGCGUCGACCGGGGAGUACGUCUGCUGCCAACAAGCCAAGGUAAGCUUCGCCCAAACCUUCCCUCUCUUCCUUUCUUUUCGCAUCUGUGCUCACUCCCUGUCGCAUCCUCGCCCAGGUCCCGGACUCGUCAGUGAUGUAUGUCACAUCCCUGGAUAAAUUUAAGCUU